GUCGUCGGAUUCACUUUAAUUUAUAUGUGUUGAUAUGGAUUAGGGUGGAAUUUAGUUCAAAUUUCACUCUAAUCCAUCUCAACACAUGUGGAUUGAUGUGAAUCCGACU
rfam:Sorghum bicolor cultivar BTx623 chromosome 4, whole genome shotgun sequence.